rnacentral:rRNA from 1 species
UACGUAGGGGGCAAGCGUUGUCCGGAUUUAUUGGGCGUAAAGAGCGUGUAGGCGGCCGCACAGGUCCGUUGUGAAAACGCGAGGCUUAACCUCGCGCCUGCAGUGGGUACGGGCAGACUAGAGUGCGGUAGGGGAGACUGGAAUUCCUGGUGUAGCGGUGGAAUGCGCAGAUAUCAGGAGGAACACCGGUGGCGAAGGCGGGUCUCUGGGCCGUUACUGACGCUGAGGAGCGAAAGCAUGGGGAGCGAACAGG